AACGAACGCUGGCGGCAUGCCUAACACAUGCAAGUCGAACGAGAUCUUCGGGUCUAGUGGCGCACGGGUGCGUAACGCGUGGGAACCUGCCCUUAGGUUCGGAAUAACUCCCCGAAAGGGGUGCUAAUACCGGAUAAUGUCUUCUGACCAAAGAUUUAUCGCCUUUGGAUGGGCCCGCGUUGGAUUAGCUAGUUGGUAGGGUAAAAGCCUACCAAGGCGACGAUCCAUAGCUGGUCUGAGAGGAUGAUCAGCCACACUGGGACGGAGACACGGCCCAGAAUCCUACGGGAGGCAGCAGUGGGUAAUAUUGGACAAUGGGGGAAAGCAUGAACCAGCAAUGCCGCGAGAGUGAUGAAGGCCUUAGGGUUGUAAAGCUCUUUUACCCGGGAUGAUAAUGACAGUACCGGGAGAAUAAGCACCGGCUAACUCCGUG
rnacentral:rRNA from 1 species